rnacentral:rRNA from 1 species
AGCGCAGGCGGUUUGAUAAGUCUGAAGUAAAAGGCUGUGGCUUAACCAUAGUAUGCUUUGGAAACUGUCAAACUUGGGUGCAGAAGGGGAGAGUGGAAUUCCAUGUGUAGCGGUGAAAUGCGUAGAUAUAUGGAGGAACACCGGUGGCGAAAGCGGCUCUCUGGUCUGUAACUGACGCUGAGGCUGAAAGCGUGGGGAGCAAACA